UUUUGGGAAGCUGCACUGAAAGGCAAAGCCAGGAGGGGAGGAAGCAAACAGGCAGGAAGGAGGAACACAGUAGGUGUAUUUUCAGCUGUGCUCUGCCUCCCUGCAGCACAGGAAGGCAGCUGGGAAGGAGGGCACAGGGACAAAUGGCAGCAGCAGGAGCCAGGUCCCAGAGAGCAGCAGAGGGGAUCAGCCUUCACACCAUGCUGGUGGAGCAAAAACAGUCACUGUGUCCCACUGGAGCAAUGUUUUGCCAGUCUGUGUCACAGACACCUGGCCUCAUCACCCAAAGGUGCUUUCAGGAUCAUUACAGGGCGUCUCUCCUGCAGAGAACAGCCUGGGGGCUGUGCACAUCCCAUCCUGCUGGGAUUCCCAUCUUCCUGGCACAAGGGCAUUUAACCCCUGGUGCUUUGCUUGUGCCAGAGGAAAUCCGCCUAUCGAGGCACUUCCAGCAGGCACUGGAGCAGAGUGUGUGGUGGUGGGGACCUUCAGCUGCUGUGACUAACUUUCUUCCCCAUGCCAGGCCAGGCUCUGACCAGGCUUGUCCCCUCUGAUCAUACCAGAGAUUGCUCUGAGGACUGGGCUCUGCUCCUCUGUGUCAGGCAGGUGACAUCCCACUCACCUGUGGCUUGGUCUGCAGGAAGGAGAGAUGCUGCUGAGCUGGCCACACUGCUUGGCUGUGGCUGUCACUCAGCUGUCACUCCCUGUAUCCCUCCUGUGGAGUGAGGAAGUGGCAGAAACUUGGGUGUGCUUUGCCACAGGUACUGGGCUCUCUUGCUCAGACACACAAAUACACAUUCCUCCUUUUGUAUCUGACAGAGGCUGCUGCCUCCAGCCCGGCCAUGGCAUGUGAAAUCACAGGGUCCACAGCACCUAAUUCCCAGGCCACUGCCUGUGCCCAUUGCUGGGGUCACCAGGGUGCCAAGAGCAGGGCAGAGUGUGGCUGUGAUGGUACCUGGGGAUGUGUGGGGCUGUGGUGUUUCUCUGGCACACCCAGGCAGGCAAGGACAUCACUCUCUGCUGCUGCCAAGGGGGCUUUGACAAAGGACAGUGUCCAAGAGGACUGUCCAGGGACUGAGCAGAGGGAACCAGCCCCUGCCCUCCUGUUGGAUAGCAGUGUCCCCAAACCCAGUACCCCAGGCAUAUGCCAAAAGGAAGAUACCAGGAUGACUUUCAGGAGACCAUACCAGUCCCACAUCCUGAGACAAUUCAUACUGCAGCCAUAGUGUCACUUUUCCAGGGCAAAGGUGAGUCCCCUCCAUCUGGGCCCAGCAGUCCCACUGUCCCUGGAGGUUGUUAUGAACACUGGGAACAAAGAUUGAGCUUAGAACAGCCAGUCCUUUCCCGAAACUGCACUUACUCUGUCCCACCACCAGCCCUUCCCCAGUCACCACUGCACAUUGUUCCCAGUCCCUUCCCAGAGCAGCUGAAGGUCCUGGCUGUGCUGACAGAGAUUGCAGAGCCAGUGUGGAGACCACAAGGCUGUGCCAUUCCUGGGGGACAAGCCCGGGAGCAGGGGGACGCUCAGGGCCCAGCCUGCCCAAAUACAGGGACAAGGACCAGCCAGUGCCCAUGUGCCAGAGCAAUGCCAUGUUGGAAGGAUCCUGGCCAAGGCUCUCAUCAGGGACCACCACAGCAUCCUGGAGCCAGGCAAGUCAGCCCUGGUGACUCAGAGGAGAGAGGAGAAAUUCAGACUCCUCUGCCCUCCGACUGGUUUCCUGGCUCCUCUAAAUUUGCAUAACAGUCCCUCAGCUGUUCCCUGGGGCCAAUGGGACCCCCGUAGCAGCCGGGCCCCCUGCGGCAGCCGCAGGUUCCUGCGGUCAGCCCCAGCUCUCGCUCUUGCUCAUGCAAACAACUGCACCAACGGCUCCCUCCGGCACGUGGGGCUGGCGAGCGCCCGCCCUCGGCCCCAGCCAGGGCUCGUCCCCAUCCCAAGUGCCUCGGGGGGACUGCAAGCCCGUGGCGGCUCAGUCACGCUCCAGGCAGCAAUCGGGGCAGUGACAUCUCUCUAACAACAGGGUGAGGAAUGGUGGCUCCGUGGGUGGCUGUGACCAAUGUCUUCUCCAUCCUCUGCUCACGCAAGGCUGGUGGCUUUGGCACAGAAGUGCCGCGGUGGCAUCCAAGUUCACCAACGGUUCGCUGGGUGACUUCCCACAGGGCAAAGGUCGAGGCCCCUCGCACUUCCCAGUCAAGCCUGAUGCUUCCCCAGCACUCCUGUGAGCCCAGGAGCAAAGAGCAAGCCCAGGUGGGAUAGCUAACCACACGUCCCUGAACCCACUCCCCAGUCUCCCAGCUCCAGACUAAGCCACAGUGUAUCCUAUCCCAGCCCAGCCCAGGGGCCAGGGAGUCAGGGACAAGGAUGGAAAAUGACAGCCCAGAUCCAGUGCCUGUGGUGCUGUCAGCCAGCUCCAGCCACUGCUCACCCCAGGAGGGAACCCUCCUGCUUCCAAGGACACGGCACAGCUUUGGCACUGCAAAAUGCAGAGGUGGGUAAAACCAUAGAGGGAUUGUGAUCAGUCUGGCUUUGGAAUUAACCCCAGAGCUGAAAAGUCUGGGUCAGCAGUGCUUAGGGCUCCUCGACAGACAGUGCUAAUGAUGACACAGCAUUGUGCUCAAGACUUGUUAAACGCCAGACUUUAACGAGAUCGCCAUGAAUUCAAACCCACACAGCCCAAUCACAGGGCCCAUGUGUGGACCCAGACUUGCUCAGAAGUGCAUCUGAGAACUUGUUGCGGCCACACAGGUCUCCAGGCUGCCAGCACUAGCACAGGGUCCUGGCAAGUUUGUUCCGCCGCCCAUCGGAGCAGCCCUGCGGGGCCAGGCUGGCUGCAGGAGAGAGAUGUGGAGCCAGAAAGGCCUGACCCCACCCCAGCCCUUUUUGCUUCUUUCAGCAAGAAGUGUAACAGCAUCACAAUCCUUGGUGACAUCGAGGGACUAUUUGUCAUCAGGAGAAAUGCACUGGCAGGCAGCAGGGGGAGAGCCAAAGGCUACAGCAAAGCAUGAGGCAGGCACGGCUCCAGCAUCCCAGCACCACGUGCUGCUGGUGCUCAGGAUCCUGCCUUUGCUGCCCUCAUGGGCUUGGGCACAUGUCAGGCAAGGCUGUGCCUGCACACAGUGCCACACACACGUCCCCCACCUCCAUCAGGACACCACAGGUGAAUCUGGCAGUCUGGCUGCUUGUCCUCAGCUGAGAGCAGGAGUUAAACCAGAGCUGUUGGACCCUGGGAAUGCAGUGAUGCAGCAAAGAGCUGGGCUGGCAUUCUGUUUGGGACAGGCUUCUCUGUAGUACCAGCUCAGCUCUUCCUCUGUCUGCAGUGAUGUCUUCCCAGCUUCACAGAUGUUGCACUCAUGGAGUGGGAUUCCUCUCCUUCAACACACUGCAGUCAGGUGCUUGUUCAGGCAGCCCUGCCUUGCAAUAAAUUUGAAGCAAGGAUUCAAAGCUGAAAUAGCUCUUCUGAAAUCCUCCCUAAACUAUGGGAGUCAGGUCUGCUCAGGGAUUUCCAGUCAUACCCUGGACCAGCAUCCCACUCCACCCACUGUUCUAAGGGAUUACAAGGCUGAGGCAGCCAGGAAAACAGUUUCAAGAUGGUCUUUCAUGUCCCAUGCACUCCAGGGACAGGGUUCAAGAAGCCAUGAUAAAAAUUCAAUGGAAAGGGGGUGGUUUGAAGUUUGGAGUGGGAGAUAAGCAAGACCUGGAUCCCAGGAGGGAGCCUGGCCACCAUUCUUGGUCCUGCUCAUCUCUAGUGCAGCCCCUUUGGGAUGAGCUCUCUUCUCUGCUCUAAACCUGACAGCUGUCUUGCAGAUCACUUAGCAACAAGCAUGUGUGAAGGAUUUGUCACAUUACAGGUGUGCAUCCAGGUCUAGGCAUGAGGUCCAGUCACUUCUCCUGCUUGUUUCCUGGUAUCACUCUCCUCCUGUUGUUUUUGAAGCAGUGUGGAUGAGGACACUCACCAGCCUCUCUGUAAUGUGCACACGUGUUCCUGUGCCUUCAGCAGCUUCUCCUGGGCUUUCCUCCUGCUCCACUUAAUUAGGCAUCGAGGGAGAGGGACAGUAACCAACAAUUAGGUGAGCUGGAGAAGUGCCCUGGUUUUCUGGCCUUGCUGCUCUGAGCACCUUGGGAACCACUUUCCCCCGAGACAGGAGAAAGAGAGGGAGGGAGCCAAGGAUCUCAGAAAGAUGGAGCAAAGCAGCAUCAGCUGGGAAGAGCAGGCAAAUUGUGCAGGUAUGAUGGGAUGAAGCAGGAGAGUCCCUGGGAAGGAGUGAGGCAAUGGGUUUUGAUCCUGGCUCUGAAUCAGUGGGGCUGUGGGAUUGUCUGUUGGGCAUCUGGAUGGAGGAAUGCCCUCAUGCAACAUUUAUUACACAGGAAGUGCUCAGGAGUGAUAGGUCAGUGUGGCUGCCCAGAGUUGGCUCUGUGGUCUCUUGUCACUGGCAUGGUCAGUUUAUGUGGCUGUGAUGUCCAGAAAACUGGCUCUCACCCCUGGAGCUUGUGAGGUUUGUCUAUUCAUAAUUGUUCUGUGAUCCCAGUGGCAUCUCUGGGGAGGGAUUACAUCCUCUGCCGACUGAGUGCUUGGCCCAGUUGGAAACAGUUCCAAGCAGCCUCUGCCUCUCUUUCUGUUGCCAAUUCAAGGCCUUGGAGCUAAUCUCCAGUGUCGCCAAGAGAUCAAGUCCUGGCUGUGCUGGUAAUGGUGUGAUCCUAAAACAUUUCAGGAACAGAGAACUUGAGAUGCUGAGCCAGAUGCUAAGCUCCUGGAGAAAACAAAAGGGGAUGGGGGAUCUGACUGCAUCCAGGUGAGUCUGUGAUUCAGUGAAGGCUGUGUGAGUGAUAGACAGAGGUGACACUGCCCCAAAGUACCCUGGAAAUGCAAUGGGAAGCAGCUGAAAUGCAGCAGUCUAAGGCUAGGGAGCAUCCAGCUGCUCUCCUUACUAGCUGGGAGCUACCCAAGAGGUGCUGCAGGAGCCCCACAGAUGGGCUGCUGCAGGAGAAGAGAAGGAUGCUUGGAGCCCUGGUACCUGCACCCCACUUGAAGUCUUAAGUGAUCAGAGACUUUCUUGGUCCUGGUCUCUCUGAAAGGUUCAGUGUCAGCCUUGCCAAGUCCAGAGCUGUCUCUACAUCUUACCAAGAAAUUCCUGCCAAGAUGUUAUUUGGCCAAAGUCCUGGAGGCAGGAUAAAUCAGUCUGGAUUUGCAAAUACCAGGCAUGUGUGCUCAGACACACCCCACCAAGAGCAGCCAUUCCUUAUCUGCAUCCACCUCUGCCAAUCCCCCUUUGCUCAAGGUUGUCUCAGCCCUUACUCCUGCUCCUGGCUCCGCUCCCUUAGCUUCAAAUUCCAUUAGGCUUCUGCAGCAUCCUCUCAAGGCGCUUUUGAGAAGGGUUGUGCCCCGUUUCCACUCAACUGGGGAGCUCUGGCAAGUGACACAGCAUUCAAGGAGUGCAUGCAAUAAAAAUCACUCAUUUGUCCCCAUGGCAAAUGGCCUGGCAGUGGCAAGAAACUGCUCUGCCAUCCACAAAUCACAUGCAGCUCCUCAUGGCCUGGCUCUACCUUCUCUUUCUCCUGAACUGGUCAUGCAUCCGCAGGUCCAUAUUCCCUCCAGCUGAGGUCACUGGAUAUGAGACUCCUAUUCCUGCUGCUGUGGAGGGGAGAGUUACCAAUUGCUGCUGUUGAGCUCUGCCUCGCAGGGAAACCCCUGCUGGGGUGAAAGAUCCUGUACCUGCCUAAUUUUUCCCUGGAAGUGCAAUAUGAGAUGAUCCACAGAACUGGUCCUGUGCCUGGCUAUCACUGCUGGCACCUCUGACUCCACUCAUCUGCUGGGCUGGGUCCCAACUGUCCGUGCGUGAUGCCACCAGCAGAUGAGUGACAAGGGGCACAGGUCCAGCCAUGCAGAAUGAGAGAGGGCUGGGGAAGGCUGGAGGAGAGGAGUCCAUCCGGGUGAGACGCAUCGAUCGCCUGAUAUCUGAUACAUUAUUCAUAACCAACCUGAGCUGCAGCUCAGGAGAAAGUGGUGAGCACGCACUUCUCCUUGGGAAAUAUGCCCAUGAGAGAUGAAGAGCUCUGGGCUCCAGCUCAUCAAACACCCUGCUAGGUAGUCACGACAUACCAGCCUCCUUCUGGCUUUUUGUGCCCACAUCCACUGGUGCUCGUGGCACUAAAGACUGGCCAGUGAGUCCCAGCACCCACUGUCACAUUGUACCAGGGAGAGUUUCUAUCCAGGAUUGGUCUCUAAGGACAGAGCAGCUUUUCUUUUCUGGGACACCCCAGUCCUUGUCACAAACAUAUGUGACUCCACCUUGACCAGCAAGUUAAGGAUGUUCUGCUCCCUAGCCUGGGCAUGAGCACAACAUUCAACAGCAAGGGGUGUGGGCCCCUGGUACUUCCCCAGGGUGACACAACGGUGACAGAGAGGAAGGCAGGGGCACACAAUGAGUACAUGGCUUCACUUCAGGUCUCAUUCAGUGUAGAAGUCCCAGCUGGAUGGGUGUAAUCCCAGAGCUGAUCACAUCUGGAAGACUUUGGAGAGGACACUAAGGAAGGGACCUUCCUCCCAAAAUGUCCAAGCAACCAAUGCACCUGGAGAACCCAUCUCUGGUCAGCUGAGGUUUCUCUGGGAACCUGAUCCUGUUCCAGUGAGGUACAACAUUCACAUGGACUUCAGCCCAGUUGUCUGGGGGAGCCGUGGUCAGGGCAGCACAGAACAGUGGUGUGACAGCAGCAUCACCUGUGGGACCUGCUCCCCACCACUGCAGGAAUCCCUUGGGAAGCAGGGCAGUUGUGUGUUCCAUGGGACAAUCCACUCACUGUGGCACUUGGCGUGAUGCCACCACACUGCAGAGGGACUGUGGCUGGGAAGAAAGCUGGGGUGGGGUGUGUCAGGCUGGCAGUGCUCUGGCAUUUAGGCUAGGGAGGGCUUCUAAGGGGGAAAAAUUAGGUUGUGAGGCAUUAAGGACAGGCACACUCUACAUUUUGAGAGUUGCCCUUGGAGAUGCCUGGCCCUGGGUUUUACACCCUUCUGCCCACAGCAGCAGGCCAUAAGGCAGGGGGCUCACACCCACCUCUCUAACUCCACGAACAUCAUCUGUGCUGUUGCUUCUCUUCCUGAACCCAUUUCUUCCCCUUCUCUGCACUCGGAAUGUGCUGCCUUGCCUCUCUGGAGGCUGCAAAUAAACCAGCCAGGCCUGGGACACCGGCUUUCUCCCUGGAAAUAUCCCUGCUGUAAUUCCCAGCAGAUUGGAGGUCGGUUCCAUAUGGCUGUGGGCUCCCCGCUGCCCGGCUCACAGCCUGCCCAGCCCGGCUGCCUCGCCGCUUCUCCCCGGUGCAAUAUGGCACCGCAAAGCCCAGCGCCAGCACUCGGGGAUUAGCUCGCUUUUUUCUCUUGUUGUUAUUGCUUUAUUAGCUAAACCUAACGAGGCAGCAUUUGUGCUGGCCCUUGAGGGCAGGUGGCCAGGAUUUAUGACUGCAGCGCUGCCGAGUGACCUGGAGUAGAAACGGGCAUUCAGUGUCGGGGAAAAGAGAGCAGCGCCCGCAUCGCCGGGGGUGCCGGGAGGAGCGGGACAGCUGCGCUGCCCAGAGACUUUCGCCGGUGCCGUGUUUGCAGCGAGGGAGAGCGCCCGGCUCCGGGGGUAUUCGCUGGCAUCGCUCUCGCCGGAGCUGGCAAGGACGCUGUGCCAUGCUGAGAGAGCACCCGCAUUGCGAGAGGCACAGCUGGCACGGGCACGGCGCGGCUCUGAAGGGGCAUUUCACUGCUCAGACGGCCGCUGAGCAUGAAAAGGGCAUUGUAGGGGAGCGUGUGUGGCUGGGGAGCAGCUGGCGUUGGCAAAGCAUCGACGCGUCUUAAAGGGACACAAAGACCACCGCCUCCGUCCC